CUGUAAGCCUGUGAAGGUGUGCUGUGAGGCAUGCUGGAGGUAUCAGAAGUGCGAAUGCUGACAUAAGUAACGAUAAAGCGGGUGAAAAGCCCGCUCGCCGGAAGACCAAGGGUUCCUGUCCAACGUUAAUCGGGGCAGGGUGAGUCGACCCCUAAGGCGAGGCCGAAAGGCGUAGUCGAUGGGAAACAGGUUAAUAUUCCUGUACUUGGUGUUACUGCGAAGGGGGGACGGAGAAGGCUAUGUUGGCCGGGCGACGGUUGUCCCGGUUUAAGCGUGUAGGCUGGUUUUCCAGGCAAAUCCGGAAAAUCAAGGCUGAGGCGUGAUGACGAGGCACUACGGUGCUGAAGCAACAAAUGCCCUGCUUCCAGGAAAAGCCUCUAAGCAUCAGGUAACAUCAAAUCGUACCCCAAACCGACACAGGUGGUCAGGUAGAGAAUACCAAGGCGCUUGAGAGAACUCGGGUGAAGGAACUAGGCAAAAUGGUGCCGUAACUUCGGGAGAAGGCACGCUGAUAUGUAGGUGAAGUCCCUCGCGGAUGGAGCUGAAAUCAGUCGAAGAUACCAGCUGGCUGCAACUGUUUAUUAAAAACACAGCACUGUGCAAACACGAAAGUGGACGUAUACGGUGUGACGCCUGCCCGGUGCCGGAAGGUUAAUUGAUGGGGUUAGCCGCAAGGCGAAGCUCUUGAUCGAAGCCCCG
rnacentral:rRNA from 1 species